AACACAUGCAAGUCGAGGGGCAGCAUGGUCUUAGCUUGCUAAGGCCGAUGGCGACCGGCGCACGGGUGAGUAACACGUAUCCAACCUGCCGUCUACUCUUGGACAGCCUUCUGAAAGGAAGAUUAAUACAAGAUGGCAUCAUGAGUCCGCAUGUUCACAUGAUUAAAGGUAUUCCGGUAGACGAUGGGGAUGCGUUCCAUUAGAUGGUAGGCGGGGUAACGGCCCACCUAGUCUUCGAUGGAUAGGGGUUCUGAGAGGAAGGUCCCCCACAUUGGAACUGAGACACGGUCCAAACUCCUACGGGAGGCAGCAGUGAGGAAUAUUGGUCAAUGGGCGAGAGCCUGAACCAGCCAAGUAGCGUGAAGGAUGACUGCCCUAUGGGUUGUAAACUUCUUUUAUAAAGGAAUAAAGUCGGGUAUGGAUACCCGUUUGCAUGUACUUUAUGAAUAAGGAUCGGCUAACUCCGUGCCAGCAGCCGCGGUAAUACGGAGGAUCCGAGCGUUAUCCGGAUUUAUUGGGUUUAAAGGGAGCGUAGA
rnacentral:rRNA from 1 species